UAGCGUGUUGACCAUGAGGAUCCAUGAGCUCUAGAUUUGGUAGUGUUUAUAAAAUAGGUACCUGACAUUUUUCAAGGAUGGUAAUAAAUUCUGCAAAGUUUCUAUAAUGAGUUGGAAUGGCGUGUGAGUCCAGAAUAUCCAGUGGCACAAUAGAGUAUUUUG